UGGGGAAUAUUGCACAAUGGGCGCAAGCCUGAUGCAGCCAUGCCGCGUGUAUGAAGAAGGCCUUCGGGUUGUAAAGUACUUUCAGCGGGGAGGAAGGUGUUGUGGUUAAUAACCUCAGCAAUUGACGUUACCCGCAGAAGAAGCACCGGCUAACUCCGUGCCAGCAGCCGCGGUAAUACGGAGGGUGCAAGCGUUAAUCGGAAUUACUGGGCGUAAAGCGCACGCAGGCGGUCUGUCAAGUCGGAUGUGAAAGCCCCGGGCUCAACCUGGGAACUGCAUCCGAAACUGGCAGGCUUAAGUCUUGUAGAGGGGGGUAGAAUUCCAGGUGUAGCGGUGAAAUGCGUAGAGAUCUGGAGGAAUACCGGUGGCGAAGGCGGCCCCCUGGACAAAGACUGACGCUCAGGUGCGAAAGCGUGGGGAGCAAACA
rnacentral:rRNA from 1 species